rnacentral:rRNA from 1 species
UGCCAGCCGCCGCGGUAAUACGGAGGGGGCUAGCGUUGUUCGGAAUUACUGGGCGUAAAGCGCAUGUAGGCGGACUAUUAAGUCAGGGGUGAAAUCCCGGGGCUCAACCCCGGAACUGCCUCUGAUACUGGUAGUCUUGAGUUCGAGAGAGGUGAGUGGAAUUCCGAGUGUAGAGGUGAAAUGCGUAGAUAUCGGAAGGAACACCAGUGGCGAAGGCGGCACUCUGGCUAGAGACUGACACUGAGGCACGAAAGCGUGGGGAGCAAACAGGAUUAGAUA